rnacentral:rRNA from 1 species
GAUGAACGCUGGCGGCGUGCCUAAUACAUGCAAGUCGAGCGAACGGACGAGAAGCUUGCUUUUCUGAUGUUAGCGGCGGACGGGUGAGUAACACGUGGAUAACCUACCUAUAAGACUGGGAUAACUUCGGGAAACCGGAGCUAAUACCGGAUAAUAUUUUGAACCGCAUGGUUCAAAAGUGAAAGACGGUCUUGCUGUCACUUAUAGAUGGAUCCGCGCUGCAUUAGAUAGUUGGUAAGGUAACGGCUUACCAAGGCAACGAUGCAUAGCCGACCUGAGAGGGUGAUCGGCCACACUGGAACUGAGACACGGUCCAGACUCCUACGGGAGGCAGCAGUAGGGAAUCGUCCGCAAUGGGCGAAAGCCUGACGGAGCAACGCCGCGUGAGUGAUGAAGGUCUUCGGAUCGUAAAACUCUGUUAUUAGGGAAGAACAUAUGUGUAAGUAACUGUGCACAUCUUGACGGUACCUAAUCAGAAAGCCACGGCUAACUACGUG